ACAGCUACUACUGCUUCUCUUAAGCAAGAAUACUUCAUCUGCUUUUUCUCCACUAGUUUUGGGCUUAGAAUUUGAAUGGGAAAAAACUUCACUUUUUUUAUCUUUUUCUAUCAAGAAUGAAAUGAGACCAACACUGCCUACCUCAACAGGACCAGAAUUGUGAUUGGAAGAGAUCUCAGAACAAGAGCAAGAAGAAAGCCUUUGUUCUCCACAGUCUGAGCAGACCAGCUUGACUAAACGAUCUUUGAG
rnacentral:misc_RNA from 1 species